rnacentral:rRNA from 1 species
AACGAACGCUGGCGGCGUGCCUAAUACAUGCAAGUCGAGCGAAUGGAUUAAGAGCUGCUCUUAUGAAGUUAGCGGCGGACGGGUGAGUAACACGUGGGUAACCUGCCCAUAAGACUGGGAUAACUCCGGGAAACCGGGGCUAAUACCGGAUAACAUUUUGAACCGCAUGGUUCGAAAUUGAAAGGCGGCUUCGGCUGUCACUUAUGGAUGGACCCGCGUCGCAUUAGCUAGUUGGUGAGGUAACGGCUCACCAAGGCAACGAUGCGUAGCCGACCUGAGAGGGUGAUCGGCCACACUGGGACUGAGACACGGCCCAGACUCCUACGGGAGGCAGCAGUAGGGAAUCUUCCGAAAUGGACGAAAGUCUGACGGAGCAACGCCGCGUGAGUGAUGAAGGCUUUCGGGUCGUAAAACUCUGUUGUUAGGGAAGAACAAGUGCUAGUUGAAUAAGCUGGCACCUUGACGGUACCUAACCAGAAAGCCACGGCUAACUACGUGCCAGCCGCCGCCGUAA